rnacentral:rRNA from 1 species
GACGAACGCUGGCGGCGUGCUUAACACAUGCAAGUCGAACGGAAAGGCCCUGCUUUUGUGGGGUGCUCGAGUGGCGAACGGGUGAGUAACACGUGAGUAACCUGCCCUUGACUUUGGGAUAACUUCAGGAAACUGGGGCUAAUACCGGAUAGGAGCUCCUGCUGCAUGGUGGGUGUUGGAAGGUUUCGGCGGUUGGGGAUGGACUCGCGGCUUAUCAGCUUGUUGGUGGGGUAGUGGCUUACCAAGGCUUUGACGGGUAGCCGGCCUGAGAGGGUGACCGGCCACAUUGGGACUGAGAUACGGCCCAGACUCCUACGGGAGGCAGCAGUGGGGAAUAUUGCACAAUGGGCGGAAGCCUGAUGCAGCAACGCCGCGUGCGGGAUGACGGCCUUCGGGUUGUAAACCGCUUUCGCCUGUGACGAAGCGUGAGUGACGGUAAUGGGUAAAGAAGCACCGGCUAACUACGUG